GCUCAGGAAAUGCUGUAAACACUCAUAACAAAUAAUUUCUAAUUUAGGCUGAAAAUUGGAAUUUUAUUUGUCUACUGACUUUACAAAACACAAUAUACAAACAAAGAUUAUCUCUGUCGCAUUUGUAGGAUCAACAUAUUAUUUCCGGAAGAUUGCUGUUGUAUUUUCCUAUGGUACCAACCGUGGCUUAGUGACCUAAGUCGAAGAGUUUUAUUUACAAUUUUCUUCGUUGCAAUAGGCUCACUCAGAAAGAAUUGCUCACUAUACGGAAUUCCCCGCAGGAGCUUCUGUGAAAGAUGUACCACUUCAUCGUUGAGAAUUCUGGAUGUGCAGACAUUGCCAGUGUAGAUUUAGAUCGACUUUGUAGUGAUACCUCAAAUAUCACUGUUAAACUUCUGUAAAUUUUCAAAGAAAUAGAAUUUCAUUAGAAUUUAGAAUAAUUUUCUCUGCAUAUCAUGUUUAAUGAUUCAAAAAUUUGCUGAGCGUUCAUGAUGUGAUCAUAAUAGUAAAUCGAAACUUUAUAAUAGCACCUAUAGAAAUAUUAAUGUAAAUUUAGGUAGCAUCAUACAGACCUAACACCUACUUGAAGAGGACUAAGAAGCUUCUAAAUGUAAUCGUAAACACUGAUCUUAUUUAAUUUUAUUGAAGAAUUUUGCCAAUUAAAAAAAACAGCGAAUAAAAAAUUCUCGAAUUAAAAAUUAAAUAUAGAUUUAGGUAUUUUAUAAGUUGCUAAAUAAUUUAUUAGAGAAAUAAAAAUUUUAAUGCCUCUUUGACUAUUUUUUUUAAAUUUCUAAUGUUGUCCAAAAAAUUAUAUUUAUUUUUUACGCAUUGAAAAAUAACUGGAUUUUUUUUUUAUUCUAGAAAAAUAUUUAGAAGGGGACCUCAAAAAUAUUUUAAAUGUAUGAACGUAUCAGUAUAAUGCGAGUAUUGAAAAUAUGUUGUGAACCAAUAAGGCCACGAUAAUCUAUUCAAUUUAUAAGAUUAGAAAAUGUUUUUACUUUCUCUUUAUUGUUCUAUAUUGGUUCUUUCUAGAAUAGACUGACAAUUUUCGUCAUAUUUCAAAAAUCAUAACUCCUGAUUUUUUUCAAAACUACAUGAUUAAAUAGACCUCAUUAAUACCAGGCAUACCAGGUCAUUAGUCUCGGAAUGUUUUUAAAUCUUUAUUUAUAAAAAAGUUCUCGAACUCGAAGCGUCAUUUAAAGAAAUCAAUUACUUAAAAUUUCUUUUUUAUAAAAUAAAAAUAAAUAUUUUUUAGCAUGAAGAACCUUUUUUAAAAAAAAAUUUCUAUUAAAAAAUAACUUUUUUAAAAUGGUAAUUGUUAAGAAAAAUACGCUCUUCAAAGAAAACUAUUUUUUUUUUAAAACGAUACAUCACGCAAAAUAAUAGCUUUUGUAUUUUGUAUAAAAUAUGUAUUUUUAAAAGAAAAUUAUUUUUCUAAAAUAACGAUUCGUGUAUGGAAAUGACUUUUAUAAAAAGGAUAAAAAAAAACAGUUCUCCAAAAGCUCAAGCGGCUUCAAACAGAAACUUAGAGAGAUCUUGUAUCAUCUAAAAAAUUUUUAUAUCAUUGAUAUAGUUUUCUUGUAUUCUUGCAAACAUUAUUUUAGUGCUCUAUUAAAAUACCCUUUUAACAUCUAAACCCUCUAAAGGAUCGUAAGAAAUCUAAGGUAGAAAUACGUAAUACAAGAAUUCAUAAAGGGCUUACAUAAUUUCAACGUUCAUCCUUGAUAGAGUACUUAACACCAAAAUUAGUGUAAAGGUCAAAUUUAUUUGUUUUUAAUUCUUAAUUUCAUUCAUUUCGUUUCAAGAGAAUUCUUUCCUUAAAAAAUCAUCAAAAACCCAUUUAAAACUUAAUUUUUUGCAAUAAAAUGUAGAAAGAUUUGUAGGGUGUACGUGCGUGAAUAUUUUGAUCACAGUGUUCAGUGAACAGAAUAUUAAAUUUAAAAAGUAAGACAAUAUCAUUACACAAUCCAAUAAUAAA